GACGAACGCUGGCGGCGUGCUUAACACAUGCAAGUCGAACGGAAAGGCCCUGCUUUUGUGGGGUGCUCGAGUGGCGAACGGGUGAGUAACACGUGAGUAACCUGCCCUUGACUUUGGGAUAACUUCAGGAAACUGGGGCUAAUACCGGAUAGGAGCUCCUGCUGCAUGGUGGGGGUUGGAAAGUUUCGGCGGUUGGGGAUGGACUCGCGGCUUAUCAGCUUGUUGGUGGGGUAGUGGCUUACCAAGGCUUUGACGGGUAGCCGGCCUGAGAGGGUGACCGGCCACAUUGGGACUGAGAUACGGCCCAGACUCCUACGGGAGGCAGCAGUGGGGAAUAUUGCACAAUGGGCGGAAGCCUGAUGCAGCAACGCCGCGUGCGGGAUGACGGCCUUCGGGUUGUAAACCGCUUUCGCCUGUGACGAAGCGUGAGUGACGGUAAUGGGUAAAGAAGCACCGGCUAACUACGUGCCAGCAGCCGCGGUGAUACGUAGGGUGCGAGCGUUGUCCGGAUUUAUUGGGCGUAAAGGGCUCGUAGGUGGUUGAUCGCGUCGGAAGUGUAAUCUUGGGGCUUAACCCUGAGCGUGCUUUCGAUACGGGUUGACUUGAGGAAGGUAGGGGAGAAUGGAAUUCCUGGUGGAGCGGUGGAAUGCGCAGAUAUCAGGAGGAACACCAGUGGCGAAGGCGGUUCUCUGGGCCUUUCCUGACGCUGAGGAGCGAAAGCGUGGGGAGCGAACAGGCUUAGAUACCCUGGUAGUCCACGCUGUAAACGGUGGGUACUAGGUGUGGGGUCCAUUCCACGGGUUCCGUGCCGUAGCUAACGCUUUAAGUACCCCGCCUGGGGAGUACGGCCGCAAGGCUAAAACCCAAAGGAAUUGACGGGGCCCCGCACAAGCGGCGGAGCAUGCGGAUUAAUUCGAUGCAACGCGUAGAACCUUACCUGGGUUUGACAUGGAUCGGGAGUGCUCAGAGAUGGGUGUGCCUCUUUUGGGGUCGGUUCACAGGUGGUGCAUGCCUGUCGUCAGCUCGUGUCGUGAGAUGUUGGGUUAAGUCCCGCAACGAGCGCAACCCUUGUUCACUGUUGCCAGCACGUUAUGGUGGGGACUCAGUGGAGACCGCCGGGGUCAACUCGGAGGAAGGUGGGGAUGACGUCAAGUCCUCAUGCCCCUUAUGUCCAGGGCUUCACGCAUGCUACAAUGGCUGGUACAGAGAGUGGCGAGCCUGUGAGGGUGAGCGAAUCUCGGAAAGCCGGUCUCAGUUCGGAUUGGGGUCUGCAACUCGACCUCAUGAAGUCGGAGUCGCUAGUAAUCGCAGAUCAGCAACGCUGCGGUGAAUACGUUCCCGGG
rnacentral:rRNA from 1 species